rnacentral:rRNA from 1 species
ACGGAAGGCAGCAGUGGGGAAUAUUGCGCAAUGGGGGCAACCCUGACGCAGCAACGCCGCGUGAUUGAAGAAGGUCUUCGGAUUGUAAAAAUCUUUUAUCAGGGACGAAGAAGUGACGGUACCUGAUGAAUAAGCUCCGGCUAACUACGUGCCAGCAGCCGCGGUAAUACGUAGGGAGCAAGCGUUAUCCGGAUUUACUGGGUGUAAAGGGCGAGUAGGCGGGUCGGCAAGUUGGGAGUGAAAUGUCGGGGCUUAACCCCGGAACUGCUUCCAAAACUGUUGAUCUUGAGUGAUGGAGAGGCAGGCGGAAUUCCCAGUGUAGCGGUGAAAUGCGUAGAUAUUGGGAGGAACACCAGUGGCGAAGGCGGCCUGCUGGACAUUAACUGACGCUGAGGAGCGAAAGCGUGGGGAGCAAACAGGAUUAGAUACCCUGGUA